rnacentral:rRNA from 1 species
CCUACGGGGGGCAGCAGUGAGGAAUAUUGGUCAAUGGACGAGAGUCUGAACCAGCCAAGUAGCGUGAAGGAUGACUGCCCUAUGGGUUGUAAACUUCUUUUAUAAAGGAAUAAAACGAGGCACGUGUGCCUGUUUGCAUGUACUUUAUGAAUAAGGAUCGGCUAACUCCGUGCCAGCAGCCGCGGUAAUACGGAGGAUCCGAGCGUUAUCCGGAUUUAUUGGGUUUAAAGGGAGCGUAGAUGGGUUGUUAAGUCAGUGGUGAAAGUUUGCGGCUCAACCGUAAAAUUGCAAUUGAUACUGGCAGUCUUGAGUACAGUUGAGGUAGGCGGAAUUCGUGGUGUAGCGGUGAAAUGCUUAGAUAUCACGAAGAACCCCGAUUGCGAAGGCAGCUUACUAAACUGUGACUGACAUUGAUGCUCGAAAGUGUGGGUAUCAAACAGGAUUAGAUACCCGGGUAGUC